rnacentral:rRNA from 1 species
ACGUUAGCGGCGGACGGGUGAGUAACACGUGGGUAACCUACCUAUAAGACUGGGAUAACUUCGGGAAACCGGAGCUAAUACCGGAUAAUAUUUCGAACCGCAUGGUUCGAUAGUGAAAGAUGGUUUUGAUAUCACUUAUAGAUGGACCCGCGCCGUAUUAGCUAGUUGGUAAGGUAACGGCUUACCAAGGCGACGAUACGUAGCCGACCUGAGAGGGUGAUCGGCCACACUGGAACUGAGACACGGUCCAGACUCCUACGAGAGGCAGCAGUG